rnacentral:miRNA from 1 species
GUGGAAAAGGCUUUUGCUU